CCUUUAGCUCAGUUGGUUAGAGCAGUGGACUCAUAAUCCAUUGGUCGAAGGUUCAAGUCCUUCAAGGCC
rnacentral:tRNA from 1 species